rnacentral:lncRNA from 1 species
ACCCUGCAUUAGUCUUCUCAUCUCAUCUCUCGUCUUCCACCUCUGCCCAGGCUCUCAAUCUUGAUAUCUCUAGCUCGUGCAGCUCUGAACUUGUUUUGUUGGUUGUCAUCUAACCAUCGUUCGAUCUGCCACCUGGUGCAUGGUGGAUGCCUGGGUGCAUGGCGAUUGCGCCAACACGCAGACGGUGAUGAUGGUUAGAUGACCAUCAGCAAACAUGUUCAUGAGACAUGCGUCCUGAGCUCGUCAUGUUUGCUCCGUGAUCUUGGAUGGUUGAUGCGUGCCGACAUGGAUUCCAUGAUGACGCGGGUGAAGGUCAGGUUUCAUGCAUCCUAUGCUUAAUUCAUCCGCCUGCUUGUCGCGAGGGUAAAUAGGAUGCAGUAUUGACAUCAUUUCCUCAUUGUGGAAUGGACCAGGUAGGUGAAUUCAUAUAUGUUUGAUUCGGUUUGUGUCGCUGUGUGCAUGCAACGCAGGAAUUUUUAUACUCUAUGAUUCAGUUCCUCACUUGCCGAAACAUCAAAAUUCCUGGGUCGCGAUGAGUUCCACCUACAAACUGGCACAAGAGAAUCACAGUUUUCUUCAAUCACCAUUGGGGUAGAGGAUUUCCACCUGAAUAUGUCAAGUGUCAGGCGCAAGGAGAGGUAUUGCUGCCAAAGAUCAAAGUCCGCUACAACGUUCGAGAUGGUUACAAAGGAGGCGUGCGAGACAUCACGGAACAUCUUUGCGUUCAUGGAAUCUCAAAAUUUUCAAUGAAUUGAUAGGGCAAUCGAUACCCAGAUGCCGUUGUCACGGCCAUUUGGGUUUGCGGUGUCCCAAAUCUGCGGCACGGAGUUGGAGCUCGUGAUGCCAAAGUCAAUCCAGACAGGCGUUGCAACAAUGGCACAUGUUGUUAGCGUGAUGUGCUUGUGAAAGGUUUGCCUAGGAGUUGAGCAAGUCAUGGAAGAGCAAUCUCGGUAACGCAUAUUGAAAUGAAUAUUUCAGAUUGGGCGACUUUGUAGGAUUUGAACCUUGUACGUAAUUUUCCUAGGCGCCUUUGGAAUAAGGGAAUGCCACCUUGGAAUUCUAUGAAGCUCAUGUGGGAUGACCCGUUAUAUAUGGAUUUUCGAGGAAAACAAACGUGAGUGACAAUUUACAAAACUCAUCAAGUACUGAUAUUUUACAGCAAUCCCCUCACGAGGUCAUGCACAUUCGCCCCUAAAUGUUUCCCCUUGACCCAAGAACUUCUGAA